rnacentral:tRNA from 1 species
GGAUUGUGGCUCAGCGGUAGAGCGCUCGUCUAGCACAUGCGAGGCCCUGGGUUCGAUCCUCAGCACCA